rnacentral:lncRNA from 1 species
GUUGGGUUUGUCAGGGUUUCUGCAUUGCAGGGGGUUGGACUAAAUGAUCCUUUGAGUCCCUCCAACUCUACUGUUCUGUGAUUCUAAGUAUGUCUAACAAUGUACACCAAAGUAAAUGUGUAUUUCCUGUGAGCAUUUCUUGGUAACAACUUUCAUUUAUUUCACUGAAUAUAUUCCAAGAAAGAGUUGUAAAGGGGGGGGGGUACAUAUUCUAGGAAGGAGAAAUGAACUGCUGUGAGAAUACAUAAUAAAUUUUAAGAAGUGAAUUUUGAUAAUAUCUAAAAUUAUCUAGAGAAAUAAUAAAAACCAUUCCUGUGCCUAUUUAUUCCGGCAUGUCCUACUUCAGGAUGAUUUUCACUCUUAAAAAGGUGGGCACAAGAUUACAGCUUAAAGUUGUGAUCUCAUGCAUGUUACUUAGGAGUAAGUUCCCUUUUACUCAGGGGAUGUAUAUAGUUGUAUGCCACCCCAGUCUCCAAGCAGUGCAAGACUCCAGGGUUACAGGUGCUUACCCAGGGUUUGGUUUCCUGAAAUGAGGGAUAGCAGGGGCUGUGGUGUCAUUAUGAUAGUUUAUUUACACAUAUAUACAACCUGAGUCUCAGUGGCGUAGCAAGGUCAGGUGGUACCCGGUGCAUAAUUUUUUGUGUCCCCCCCCCCCAUUGAAAUUGAAAUCUGUCAAAGAGAGCAGCGCAGGCAAUCGCAAUGCAGAUCCCACCUUCUCCCCCUCCCUCCUUCCACCCCCCAUCAAAGAAAGCCGCGCAGGCGGUGCUGUUGCUGGUCUUGAUCCCACCUUGCCUCAUCAGAGACAUGGCUCCUUCUCGCCUCCCCUCCUCUCCUCUCCACCCCUAAACCAGUGUGUGAUCUCUCUCUCUCUCCCCUCAAACCAGCUGGGCUGCGGAGCUCUCCUAUGCGCCGCUUCUCCUACCCCCCCACCCCCAAACCAGCGCACCUUGGCCCUUAAAUGAAAGGCAAAAGCAGGCGACCGCAGCCUCUCCCACUUCCAUGCCCUUCUUGGGAGUCCGCGUCAGCCCUAGAAGGACCAUGCCUUGCCCUGUGAGCAGCACAGCUUUGACCCUGGCCACACAGACACACACACACAGCACCUGAGCGAGGGCGGCACAUGGACAGGCAGGGAGAGCAGGGUCUGGCCGACCACGCAUGCGCCCGGCCACAGAGGUGGGAAGGGGCAUGUCGGCAUCGCGAUGCAACUCAACCCCGCUCGGUUAUACUACACAGGCAACGUCAAGUUCAGCCGGCAUUUUGUCACCCCCAUCAUGAUGUCACCCAGGGUGAUCUGCACCCUCACACCCCCUUCCUAUGCCCCUGCUGACUCUAUGAUUGAGGGCUCCAAAAGAGUCUUGCUUCUCUCAUAGCCACAGCCUUGGAUACCCACAGAAAUCAAUCAUUGCUCUCAAACGUAGCUUUCUCUCUCUCUCUCUCUCUCCAUCCUGCUGCUUUGCUUCUAGGUCACAUCACAAUUCCACUCUAAACUCGGGCCUCUUGUCUUUCUAACUGACUGGGGAGGGAGGCCCACCUGUUUGCCCUUUUCCACAGAGCCACUCCCUUUGUCCCCUUAGCGACUCAGAGGUCGAUUACCAGGCUGGCCUGGCGCUUGCAGCAAUUGAAUCUGUGCUGGAUCCAGAAAUUAGAAGAGGGGCUCUGGCAUACAACCUAACCCCCACCCCCCAACUCAUAAUAAUAUUUUGAGCAAGCUAAGUGUGGUCUAGAUGCUUCACACACAGCAUAAGAAUCAGAGUCCCUCUCCGUAGGGCCACAUGCAUCCCAUCUUUCAGGAGUUUUUUCACGUUUUAAAACAGGAAUUGAACCAAGGGUGGGGGAUCUGUGGCCCUCCAGAGGUUGCUGGGCUGCAACUCCCAUCACCCAUGAUCAUUGGGAAUUGGAGUCCCAAAAACAUUGGUGCAUGGGGCACAGGUUCAAAUCCCUGUGCCAAGCCAACAUUUGAUCCCAUCAUGGCUGAAGACAUGAAAACUCUCUUUAAAAUACAGACAUUCACGUUGAAAAGGAAAUCAGUGUUGAUUCAGAACAGGUAUCUGCCCUCAUUUGAAGUGGAAAGUUGCUGAGAAGCCAGACUCACUUCUGCAGUGGAAAAAAGAGCCACACUCAGCACUGUUUGUAGGCACAAACUUACCUAAGUAAGCCAUGAAAUAAGAUGCGUAGAAUACUUGUCACGUAUCAAGCUGUGUAUCCUUUGUGCAGAAAUGCCAGACUAAUUUGUAUGUAUAAAACUGUUUGCAAUUAUGCAGAUUGUUAAAAUAAGUUGUGUGUUUGUGAUGAAGGUUAGAAGCAGGGGACAGGAAAAGCUGCUUGCACCUGGGAACCUAUUUGGAGCAUGCUGAGUUUCAUGUGCCUGUUUUCUCUCAGCUUAUCUGUUAAUUUGCUUUGGUUUGUGGUAGCCAAGAGCUGACACAUGGUGAGAUUUGGAAAACCGCAGUAACCACACUAGCAAAGUCAAUGUUCUUUUUCAAACUGAGACAGAAGAACAAAGACUUCAAUGUGUAGGUUUUAUUUGCAUGUGUAACAGACUUCCAGGCAAGGUGCUUUAGAAAAUACCUUAUAUGUGUUUUCAGCACUUGGAAAGCAUCUCUCUUUUUCUGCAGAUUUUAAUAACUACAGCAAAACGUAUCACACUGAGCAGGUAAGUCCAGCUAAUUGCAAUAGGCACGAUAGAAACUAAAGUUCUUCAGGUAUUUUCUUGUUGCUGAAUAUAAUGCACUGAUAUACAUAUGCAGUGCUUUUUGCUAAAAAAAAUGUUUAGGGGUACUCUCUUUUUGACGCAAGAAAAUCACCAUUUUAUAAUUCAAUUCGGGAAAAAUAAAUACAGUAAAUGGACAAAAGUACAAAGAUUCAUAAAAUGUUUAGGGGUACGCGUCCCCCUGCGUCCCCCCAGAAAAAAGCACUGUAUAUAUGUCUGCUUAAUGGGUAGCAUGACAGUAAUUCAGAUGAAGAAAUAAUCAGAUUUAAUAAUAUGAUUUGCUAGCAUUUGCUUGUUCCACAAACUCUUAAUUAAAACCUCUUUUAGACUGUAAAUCUAAUUCUUCUGAACACAGCGUGGUUUACUUUCAGGUAAAUCUGUAUAGGAUUGUGCUGUAAAUGCAACAAAGCAGGGAACUAACCUGAGAGGCAAUGGAGUUGUUAGAGGAUAAACAUGCAAAUGAAAUACUCAAACAAAGAAGCAGAGAAGCAAAAUUAAGUAUUUUAAGCUGCCUUCACUGCAGAAGGUAUCAUCCUUCCUUACUAGAUUUAUUUGGACCAAGCGUAGUCCACAGUAAAUUGAAAGGAACUGUGGUGUAAUGGCUGGGCUAUACGUCUUGGGAAGCCAGACUUAAAUCCUCACUCGGCUAUGAAAAUCACUGGAUGAACCUUCAGCCCUGUGACCCUUUCUAUCCUCACAUAUAACAUCUUGAGCUCUCUGAUGGGAAGGCAGAAUAUAAAAGUAAUGAACUAAUUCUUUACCAUAUUUUUCAAAAAAGAUUUUGUUUUACAGGAAGCUAUUCAUAAACGGAAUAAAAUAAAUAAGAUCAACAGUCCAGGCACUUUAACUUUGGUCCCAGGUAAAUGGGUUGAAACAUCUUUUAAGGUUGAAAUGUGCUGUGUUUAGGACUUGGUGUUGUGAGCAUAGGAAGCCACAACGCACGCAUGC